rnacentral:lncRNA from 1 species
AAAACUUUCAUUUAUUGUAUAAUAUUAGCACCUCAAGAACAUUGAAGAAAUUGAAUUCAAACUCUAAAGGCAAAACCACUGGAAAACAGAAAAAAGUAAAAUUAUAAACUGCUUUCAUGCAAACAACUCAUCUAGCAGAUUGCAUUUCAAAAAGUUAUGUUGAACAUAGGCAUAUGAAACUAUUUUUUAUAUUAGGAUGAGCCCCAGGAAAUAGGCUUGUACAAUAAGAUGCAUGCAUGCAUGAAUAGAUAGAUGUAUAGUAAUACAAAAUAAAAAAUGUACAGUAGAAGAAACAUGUUUUAAUACAUUACCUACUUUUUAAGAUGUUAGAAGUGACCUCCUUAUCCUUAAGACACUUCUGAGUCUGUCAGUAUGUUUUAGUAAAAUGUCUGCAACACUGUAGCAUCAAUGCCCACAAUAGCAUUACAAAUAUUCAUCUAUAAUUCCUGAAAAAUGUGUUGGUGGGUUUUUUUCAUAAAUUUUCCCCUUUAGAUAUCUCAAAGAUAAAAGACAUGUGGAAAGAUAUAGGGAAUAUAGAGGCAAUAAAUCUUUGCUAACAGUUCAUCCAUCUGGGAAUGCUUCAUGAAUUCAAGCUCACACUUUUCUGAAAAUAUUGCAAGUUGCCCCAUCUUGUUGAAAAGUGUACUAUUCCCACUCUUCAAUGGCUAAUUGCAAUUAAAGGCUUUCAAAUAUUGCCAGGUACAUGUCUGUGUUGACAGUCAUCUCAAAGAUGAAUCCUAUGAUCCAUCAUGCAAAUACUAAUACUGUACAUCACACACUGAUUUUUUUCAUCAUGAAAUAGUUCUUUGCAGAGUAGGUGGAAAUUUUCAGUUGCUCAGUACCUUGUGAUUUGAAUGUUGAGAUGUCUAGAUAAAUGAAACAAGGCUUCAUCAGACAUAAAAUAGUGAGUUGGACUGAGCAUCCCAUCAAUGAUGCUACUGAAGAGCCAUGUAAGGUAUUCUGUGUUUCAUUUGUAGUUUUCAUUCUUGCAUGCAUGUUUUACAAUACAGUUUCAACUAUAGAGUGCAUUACACAUACAUAUGUUGUGAGAUUUGAACUGAUUUUCCAGGUACUUUUCUUAAGAUUUUACUUCAUCCUUUUGUAGAUAUUUCAAAUUAAAGUUGGGAUUCAAAUAGAUGAGGCUCAGUUCUUUUUUGCAUUGAGGACUCUUCCUAUUUUGUGCCACUUCUUCAGUUGCUAUAUAUAGCACUUUGCUGGUAUCUUGGCAGUGGGAAAACUGUUCCAUAAAUAUUCUGUAUGUUUCUUAAAUAAACUUUUAAUCUUAUAUUCCUCAACAAUGGCAAUUCUUUCUAGCAUAGAAUAAGGCAUGAUGUAGAAAACACAGAUUGAGUGACACAAAGAAAAACAAUCAUACACAUGAUACAAGCUGGGUUAUGUCUUCAGGUAACUAGUUGUGGGUUGAUUGGCUAUUAGUUCUUCAUUGCAUGGACUGGAGCAGCAGGCUACUUUUCUGUGACUCACCCUAUAGUUUGUUGUUGUAAUUCAUUUGUAUUGACUCUUAAAUAAUGCAAAAUACUGAAAAAUAAAUAGUGUUUGCUUAACAAUUGCUUAAAUAAAAUAAAGAUGAAUCAAAUAAAGUCACAAUAUUAGAUGUUUUGCUUGGUAAAUUCAAUGCUAUAAAAAAUACUGUUUUAAAGAAAGAAU